rnacentral:rRNA from 1 species
UAGACAUUGAGAGUUUGAUCCUGGCUCAGGACGAACGCUGGCGGCGUGCCUAAUACAUGCAAGUCGAGCGGGUAUCGAAAGAUACCAGCGGCGGACGGGUGAGGAACACGUGGGGAAUCUGCCUAACAGACCGGAAUAACGCCUGGAAACGGGUGCUAAGGCCGGAUAGGCGCAUGAGGCGCAUGCCUGAUGCGGGAAAGGAUGCUACGGCAUCGCUG